rnacentral:tRNA from 1 species
AACACGAAAACUAAACCUGCUAAAUUUAACAAGCUGAGGAUUACCCCUCAGUCGUGUUG